CCUACGGGUGGCAGCAGUCGAGAAUCUUGCACAAUGGGGGAAACCCUGAUGGGGCGACGCCGCGUGGGGGAAUGAAGGUCUUCGGAUUGUAAACCCCUGUCAUGUGGGAGCAAAUUAAAAAGAUAGUACCACAAGAGGAAGAGACGGCUAACUCUGUGCCAGCAGCCGCGGUAAUACAGAGGGCUCAAGCGUUGUUCGGAGUCACUGGGCGAAAAGCGUGCGUAGGCUGUUUCGUAAGUCGUGUGUGAAAGGCGCGGGCUCAACCCGCGGACGGCACAUGAUACUGCGAGACUAGGGUAAUGGGGGGGGAACCGGAGUUCUGGGUGUGGCAGUGAACUGCGUAGAUUUCGGGAGGAACACUCGUGGCGAGGGCGGGUUCCUGGACAUUAACUGACGCUGAGGCACGAAGGCCAGGGGCGCGAAAGGACUUGGCUACCCGCGUGGU
rnacentral:rRNA from 1 species